UAGGUAACCUGCCUCCAAGAUUGGGAUAACAUGUCGAAAGAUGUGCUAAUACCGGAUAAGACCACGGCUUCCUCGGAAGAAGGGGUCAAAGAUAGCCUCUACUUGUAAGCUAUCACUUGGAGAUGGGCCUGCGUACCAUUAGCUAGUUGGUAGGGUAACGGCCUACCAAGGCAAAGAUGGUUAGCUGGUCUGAGAGGAUGAUCAGCCACACUGGAA
rnacentral:rRNA from 1 species